rnacentral:rRNA from 1 species
GACAGAGGAUGCAAGCGUUAUCCGGAAUGAUUGGGCGUAAAGCGUCUGUAGGUGGCUUUUUAAGUCCGCCGUCAAAUCCCAGGGCUCAACCCUGGACAGGCGGUGGAAACUACCAAGCUGGAGUACGGUAGGGGCAGAGGGAAUUUCCGGUGGAGCGGUGAAAUUCGUAGAUAUUCGCAAGAACACCAGUGGCGAAGGCGGCCAACUGGACCAACACUGACGCUGAGGCGCGAAAAGCUAGGGGGAGCGAAUGGG